GGGGCUGACAUGGUUUCGACAGGAUCAAGGAGGGUUUAGGUUGCAUGCCGGACUGAGCAUCUCCGUUAUACGGCUCACACUUGCUUAAACGCAAACAAUACUAAUUACCGUCCUGCUUACGCUGUAGCGUAAGUUUUAAUUUAAUUUAGGACUGCUCUGCCAUUCUAUGCUAUAACUGAAUGGAAUUGGAGUAUAACCCCCGUGAUAGCUAUAUUCCUGGGAUGUCUCGGACAGGAACGAAUUUAGAGGAUAGGAUGAUGUAGCUUUGCAUGUUGUGCGAAAGUCAUCUGAAAUUUAAAUCAACAUAACUAAGCAUGUAGACGCCUUUAUUCUCUUGGUUUUGGACUGGAGUUCGAUCCUCCACAGCUCCACCA
rnacentral:tmRNA from 1 species